UCUUUUUUUGUUCUGCUGAAUUGAGAACAUGAUCUUGAUCCGUGGAUUGGGGAAAUCCUAUUAAUAGCAGGGUUCUAGACCCUGAAUGAAGAG
rnacentral:tRNA from 1 species